GGGGGUUGAAGGCGCGCGGGGCCACGUGGCUCCCCUCCCCGCGGGGUCAACACCGCCAGCCCCGCGGCGGCCUGGAGCGCAAAGCCCCUCCGAGUCAAACAGUCAAAGUGUCCCUCGGCAUCGAGCGACGGUGGGGGCGCUGCUUAUCUCUCCAGCGGUGGUCCUAAGCCGGUGGUGGAAAGCGCCACCGUGGGUUGGCUGUCUUAUUGUUUGUUUUAAGGCGGCAGAGAUCAUGUUGGCAUGGGCGUCGCCACCACUGGACGGACCCCGCCUGCCCCACUCCCUCCCUCCACGGUACCGGGGCCGCCGGAGCCGAGCCCGGACCGAACGCGAGGAACGUCACCGUAGUCCGUGCUGUGGCGAGGGAGUUAACAUCUCGUCACGGCGGGACACCGGGGUGUCAUGGGGGGUGUUGUUAGGUGUAAGACGUUGUCCAGACGAGUUGUGUUCGCUAUUCACGUGGGGAGGAGGAAGCCUGGAGCAGCCGGAGAAAACCCCACGCCUCGCGCGAGGGAUGCAGCAGCAUCACUCCAUCCCCGUACAGAUGGAAACAGAUGGCGAUCGUCCAAGCCCUCGCCUACCACAGUGCUGCCUUACAGCCCACGUCGCUACUCGCAAAGCUCUCGCGUCUUCUCGGAAUGACCGCUAACGACAGGCGCAACAGACCAGAGGGCUCCGUCAUUACAGCAUCGUGUGCGACACAAAGGUGCGAAGCCGACGCAGGAGAGCCGCUGCCCAGCCACCCCCCGACCCCGCCUGAAGGGGUCGAGGAAACGUGGCCAUCUGAACGUGGCAGCAGUGUGGUCGGCAACCUGCGACUGAGGAGCGACGUGUGCCUCUUUAAGGACUGCUUCGUGACGUCGUCCAUCAAGGACCACACCGUCUUGUCUUCACCACGUGGCUUCGUGACGUCGUCCAUCAAGGAUCGCACCGUCUUGUCUUCACCACGUGGCUUCGUGACGUCGUCCAUCAAGGAUCGCACCGUUUUGUCUUCACCACGUGGCUUCGUGACGUCGUCCAUCAAGGACCACACCGUCUUGUCUUCACCACGUGGCUUCGUGACGUCGUCCAUCAAGGAUCGCACCGUCUUGUCUUCACCACGUGGCAUCGUGAAGUCGUCCAUCAAGGACCACACCGUCUUGUCUUCAUCACGUGGCUUCCUGACGUCGUCCAUCAAGGACCACACCGUCUUGUCUUCACCACGUGGCUUCGUGACGUCAUCCAUUAAGGACCACACCGUCUUUUCUUCACCACGUGGCUUCAUGACGUCGUCCAUCAAGGACCACACCGUCUUGUCACCACGUGGCUUCGUGACGUCCAUUCAGGACCACACCGUCUUGUCUUCACGUGGCAUCGUGACGUCGCCCAUUCAGGACCACACCAUCUUGUCUUCACCACGUGGCUUCGUGACGUCGUCCAUUCAGGACCACACCGUCUAGCCUUCACCACGUGGCAUCGUGACGUCGUCCAUCAAGGACCACACCGUCUUGUCUUCACCACGUGGCAUCGUGACGUCGGCCAUUCAGGACCACACCGUCUUGUCUUCACCACGUGGCUUCGUGACGUCGUCCAUUCAGGACCACACCGUCUUGUCUUCACCACGUGGCUUCGUGACGUCGUCCAUUCAGGACCACACCGUCUUGUCUUCACCACGUGGCUUCGUGACGUCGUCCAUCAAGGACCACACCAUCUUGUCUUCACCACGUGGCUUCGUGACGUCGUCCAUUCAGGACCACACCGUCUUGUCUUCACUACGUGGCUUCGUGACGUCGUCCAUUCAGGACCACACCGUCUUGUCUUCACCACGUGGCAUUGCGGCUCUUGAAAUAUUGAGGGGCUUUUUUACCGAAUUGGGAGACAAUUGCUCUGCUUAUUAUUUGUUUUGUCUUGCCGAACCCUGGCCCCGUGUUGCCCUGCUCUGCACAAUACGCACGCACAUAUCAAAGCUGCGAGCGAACGUUCACCGAAACGAACGUGGAUGACGUAUAUAUAAAAAAGCCGUGUUGCAUGUUUUCAUUCCACGGAUAACAUUGACUCCACUGUCUCAAUCGCUGCGGUGUUUUAUGCAGCUCUCUGAACAAGUGCGUCUCUGUGUGUGUGUGUGUGUGCAGGGGGCUAAGCGGACGCGGCUUUGGGCUAGAGAAUAGAUGAGCUGAUGCGGUACAGGAGGAUGUGGAGCUGUGUGGACUUGCCGUAGACUGGUGCCAAGAAGGGUCUCUCUGGAGGAGGUGAGAAGUAUCUCACGGAGCUGCAUUAUCUGCGACCCGGACAAUGAUCGGAUCGGAGAGUAUUCAUCGUAUCCAUUCUACACACUAGAAAGUUGUGGCGUCCUGCCAAGUUAUCCCAGUCGGGGGGCCGACGUUGCCGCGGCCGCUGCUGUGCGAUCCCAAGUGAGUAAUUUGCAGGCAAUAUUUCAGCAUUAGGAUGUUUGGCCAAUACCAGUUACAUGGCGUGUGUGUGUGUGUGUUUUUGCUUUAGCUUUCGGAGGAAACUGGGGAACGCGGAGGAGCUCCGUGUAGUAGGGCAGGGGGAGAACGCACACACUACACACGCACAAAGGUGCCCGAGUCGGGAGUCACCAGUGUUACCACUGCAGCACCCUAAACUACUCAGCGAACGCUGCAAAUGCAUCAAUAAUGAUACUGCACGAAAUAUUUAACGAAUCCACGAAAGGGAAUUUGACAUGCAAACACACCUGAAAAUA